rnacentral:rRNA from 1 species
CUCCUCUAUGUCCUGGGCGACACGCGCACUACAAUGUCAGUGAGAACAAGAAUACCGACCUUGUGUCGGACCCGCUUGAUCAAUAGAGUGGGGAAACACCGGAAUCACAUCGACCCAAUUGGGACCGAGGAUUGCAAUUAUUGGUCGCGCAACGAGGAAUGUCUCGUAGGCGCAGCUCAUCAAACUGUGCCGAUUACGUCCCUGCCAUUUGUACACACCGCCCGUCGUUGUUUCCGAUGAUGGUGCAAUACAGGUGAUCGGACUUUUGGGCGCAAGCUCGGGGGAAGUUCACCGAUAUUUCUUCAGUAGAGGAAGCAAAAGUCGUAACA